GACGAACGCUGGCGGCGUGCUUAACACAUGCAAGUCGAACGGAAAGGCCCUGCUUUUGUGGGGUGCUCGAGUGGCGAACGGGUGAGUAACACGUGAGUAACCUGCCCUUGCCUUUGGGAUAACUUCAGGAAACUGGUGCUAAUACCGGAUAGGAGCUCCUGCUGCAUGGUGGGGGUUGGAAAGUUUCGUCGGUUGGGGAUGGACUCUCGGCUUAGCUGACUGUGGGUGGGGUAGUUGCUUACCAAGCCUUUGACAGGUAGCCGGCCUGAGAGGGUGACCGGCGACAUUGGGAGAGAGAUACGGCCCAGACUCCUCCGGGGGGGAGAGGUGGGGAGUAUUGCACAAUGGGGGGAAGCGUGAUGCAGAAACGCCGCGUGCGGGAUGACGGCCUUCGGGGUGUAAACCGCUUUCGCCUGUGACGAAGCGUGAGUGACGGUAAUGGGGAAAGAAGCACCGGCUAACUACGUG
rnacentral:rRNA from 1 species